rnacentral:rRNA from 1 species
GCCUACGGGGGGCAGCAGUGGGGAAUAUUGCACAAUGGGGGGAACCCUGAUGCAGCGACGCCGCGUGAGUGAAGAAGUAUUUCGGUAUGUAAAGCUCUAUCAGCAGGGAAGAAGAUGACGGUACCUGACUAAGAAGCCCCGGCUAACUACGUGCCAGCAGCCGCGGUAAUACGUAGGGGGCAGGCGUUAUCCGGAAUUACUGGGUGUAAAGGGAGCGUAGACGGUAAUGCAAGUCUGGAGUGAAAGGCGGGGGCCCAACCCCCGGACUGCUCUGGAAACUGUGGAACUGGAGUGCAGGAAGGGAA